AGCUGGGAACCUGGAUCUCCCAUAUAUUGGAAGUUUUGUAAAAACCUUGAGGGCCUCUUCCACUACAUAUGGGGAUUAUGGGAAUUGCAAUCCGAGAUGAGAUUUGAGUGAGGACAUAGCCAAACCACAUGGUUUUAGAACAUUGACAGAGAGAAGACAACCCACUUUGCCAUAUAUGCCCAUGUCGCACAAAUAGUUGAUGACAGAAAUAAGACCUGAGACUUCUGAUUCCAGACCCAGCGUUCUUCACUAGUGUCACU